UACAGAGGUCUCAAGCGUUGUUCGGAUUCAUUGGGCGUAAAGGGUGCGUAGGCGGCGCGGUAAGUCGGGGUGUGAAAUCUUGGAGCUUAACUCCGAAACUGCAUUCGAUACUGCCGUGCUUGAGGACUGGAGAGGAGACUGGAAUUUACGGUGUAGCGGUGAAAUGCGUAGAUAUCGUAAGGAAGACCAGUGGCGAAGGCGGGUCUCUGGACAGUUCCUGACGCUGAGGCAACGAAGGCCCAGGAGAGCAAACGGG
rnacentral:rRNA from 1 species